rnacentral:snRNA from 1 species
GUGCUCGCUUUGGCAGCACAUAUACUAAAAUUGGAACGGUACAGAGAAGAUUAGCAUGGCCCCUGCACAAGGAUGACACGCAAAUUCACGAAGCGUUAAAAAAAAAA